GAUGAAGAACGUAGCGAAAUGCGAUAAGUAAUGUGAAUUGCAGAAUUCAGUGAAUCAUCGAAUCUUUGAACGCACCUUGCACCCUUUGGUAUUCCGAAGGGUAUGCUGGUUUGAGUGUCAUUGUACUCUCACACUUCUAAUUCCUUUCGGGAUUGGGAGCGGUGGACUUGGGUGUUGCUGCUUUAGUUGUGGCUCACCUCAAAUAAGUUAGUGCAACUCUUGGUUGGACAUAGUACGGCGUGAUAAGUGUCUUCGCCGGCGCCUCUGUAAGGAGGGUGGCCGAUCGGGAGCUCUGUGCUUCAAACCGUCUUCGGACAAUCUUUGACAACUUGACCUCAAAUCGAGUAGGACUACCCGCUGAACUUAAGCAUAUCAAUAAGCGGAGGA
rnacentral:misc_RNA from 1 species